GAUGGCACCCCAUUCUCAAUUAAGAGUUUUACUAAAUGAAAUUAGCAGAGUAAAACCAUAUAUUCAAUGUGUGUAAUAGUCAUUUUAAAUUUUGGCUGAGCUAUACAUUAUAUCCCCUGUUUGAGAUCAUAGUAAUUUUACAACAAAAACCAAUCUUUUGAAUAUAACUUUAAAGAAGUUGGAGUCUGGCUUAUUUUGGAGUGAUUCUACAUGCAGUAAGGUGGGAGGCAGAGCCUUAUCUCAGGUUAGACUGUGAAGGAAUUGAGUUGUUAACAAAAUUUCUACAGUUUGAAUCUGAGAAAAGUAUUUCAGCAGAAGAGGCCAUGAAGUAUGCAUACUUUCAAAAUCUGGGCCCAAGAAUACCUGCUUUACCAGAAAAUGAAUUUCAUGAUUGCUUGCUCUAUUUCUGUAAGG